GAGGUUGUGGCUCAGUGGUAGAGCAUUCGCCUAGCAUGUGCAAGGUCCUAGGUUCGAUCCUCAGCACCACA
rnacentral:tRNA from 1 species